GGGGUCCAGAUAGGGGCUGAAGUCAAUGGCUCUCUCGUGGUCCCCUACGUAUCUCCUGGCAGAUCAGUGAGAUCAGAGGUGCAUCAUGCUAAACGCUGUGUGGACACAGCCCCUCACUGCAGCCCAAUGCAAAGCAUGGAGAGGCAGAAGAGGGGCAAAGAUUAAAGAAGAUAAUGCCAGAAGUCAACAGUUGCAUCACUGAACAAGGUGCUGCUGGUAGUGUGCUGGAGUCCCAGGUCCCUCUUCAUACAGCCGUGCACCUUACACCAGCACCAACUCGUAAGUUGUACCUGGCAGAGGCUCGAUUCCGACCUGUUGCUUUCCACGUGCUGUUCUCCACUGCUAAAAAUAAAU
rnacentral:lncRNA from 1 species